GGAGGAGUUGGUGAGAAGUCACUGUGAUCAACAGAUCCAUCUGGAUUUAACUGGCUCUCAGCGCUCAGCAAGAAAGUGUCUUUAUCUUUUGAGUGAAGCUCCUCGACCACGUCUCCAUCUGAGGUUACAGCUUCCAAGAAGUUAGAUGGGACAAGCCCUCUCUGUUGGUUCAGCUCUCCAUAGUAGAAUCCAUCAUCAUCCAUGGACCCAAACACUGUGAU
rnacentral:lncRNA from 1 species